GCGGAUGUAGCCCAGUGGUAGGGCAACGGCUUCCCAAGCCGUGAGUCGCGGGUUCGAAUCCCGUCAUCCGCUCCA
rnacentral:tRNA from 1 species